rnacentral:lncRNA from 1 species
AUAACGAGGUGGUGGCGUUCUCCCCGGCGGCGAAACGGUGUACGCGCUCUUCGACUUUCCGGAGUUGCUCCGAUCGCUGCCCCAGUCCGUCCUCCGAGCGAGACAGUCCAGGGCCUUGACUCCUCGAUUGUCCCCCCAAUCCGGCCCCUUUCCCCCCCAAUACAUCGCGCCCGAGGCUUUUCUUUUCUUCUUUUUGUUUGCCGGUGCGGGGCACGGGAUGUCCGGAAAGGUGCGUACACGCCCAGUGAGGGGGAGCUCACUCCUAUACGAGCGGGUUUUGGGUACGACGGAAUCUACGAUACUUUCUCUCUCUCCUGGAUGAUCUGAUAAGGAAUCCAGUUUUGGAUUGCUUUUAUCGAUUGUCAGUACCGCUGUUUCGAUCGUUGUGCGUCACUUUGAAGUUCGGUGUAUUCAACCUUCCCAUGAAGUUUAAUGGAAGUUUGACAGAUAAUCGCUUGUUCGCCCUGUAUAGCAGCAUGCCAAUGAAACAAAUGUAUAUAGGUUCAACUUAUUUAGCUUUGAAGAAAAGAGUUCUAAAAGGGCUCAUUGACUUUUCUCGUCUUCGGGUAUUAUUGGCGCUCGCAAUGAAUUACACAUUGUCUACGGGAUUUACGGGUGAAAAAAAACAGUUUAUAUAGUUCACAUGUAUAUGUAGACAAUCGACGUUUGCAACAUCGUUAAGUAAGCUCGCGAUGCAAGAUGUUACGAAUCUAAAGUCACAUCACUGUUAUGCCUGAAUUACGCUAACGGUUGGCGAUUGAGUCUACGUUUACAUUUGCGUCUCUUGAUCGAUAAAAAAAGCCUAUUGAAAAAUGAAACUCCUUUCUGAUUAGUCAAGAGAUACAAACACAAAUGCAAACGCAAUUGCCAAUGUGAUUAGAAGUUAAGGUAUUAAUAUUUAAAAUUCUAUGAAUACAUAUUUAUUGUCUAAGGAUACUAAUUAGAUACUAAUUAAAUAAUUUCAAUAUAUAUAUAUAUAUAUAUAUCUUGAACGCUAUCCAAUCUGUAAGUAUCAUUAUAUAAAUAGAAACCAUAUAUGAGAAAGGAUAUAGAAUUGCAAUUUAAAUGUUUUCCCUGGCAAAUUGUCUCCCAGUGUUGACAGGGCUAUAAGACCUACAGCAGGAUAAUUUAUAAUUGGCGUGUAUUAAGACUAGAUUUCUUAUUCGAUUUUGUGACGAACAACGUAUCGUUCUGUAUGUUCUCGAUAGAGCAUUAAGUAGCGAGAGGUGGCGUUGCCACCGAUCGAAUCGCGUCGCCGGUGUGUCUGUUCCUAAUAGCGGACUCUCAUCGAUCCGGCAGGAAGAUUGUGAAAGGGACAGGCUACCGGUGUUGUCCAUAGGGGUGGACGAAGGUGGAAAACCUGGCGGGCGGGCAGGCAGUGACCCUCAAAUUAGCAGAUCGCUCAUGGUCAAAAAGAAAGGUUUAUUUAGAAAGGAAUAUGCAAUUUAAACAUGGUGAUUGAAAGCAAAAGUUAACCGCAUUUCACGAUUCUCUAGAUCAUAUUAGAGAAAAAAUUUAGGGGAGAAGAUACUAAACCAUUCAGAAGAUUCGUGCCUAAAAAAAAAAAAAAGCGAACGUCCUCAUAUCUUUCUUAUAACACUAGAGUUAGCAGUUAAUUAUUCGUGAAAAGGGUCAUCAGGAUCGACAAUAGUUGCCGCGUCGACAAUAAAAAACACAGCGAAAGAUCGAUACAAGUAGAGCGCGCUACAAGUAGGGCAACUCUAGAGACACUGUAAUCAGAGACUGAUCACGAAAAAGCCACUUGUGACUGGUCCGCCAUUUUUUAGCUAUUUUCGAAUGAAAGAAGGAGAUAUAAUGAAAGAGAUAAGAAAAAGAAGAAAAAGAAGAUGAGAAAGAAUUAGUAGUGUUCUCUCUCGCUUCUUCUUUUAAUGAAACCGCGUCGUGGCCAGUCUCUGAUUACAGUGUCUCUAGGCAACUUCGGUAUACGCCGCACCUAAGAGAAAUUAAAGUUAUUAAUUAUCAUAUUAUGUUUAAGACCAAUAAACUAUACCAAUAAAAACUUUGUCAUCUACUACUAAUAAAAAAUUCGAAAUAUGAAAUAGAUUUAUUUUUUAUAUUUAACACAAAACUUUAAGAGGUCAUUGUAAUUUUGCCAUAAUAUAUCUAAUAGGAGUGAGACAUACACCGAGAGAAAAAAAAAGUGUGGAGUAACUAUAUUAAUAUCACUAUAAUUUAUAAUUAUUUUUGCGCUCAACCAAUUUCUUAUAGUUAUUUAACAUUAUAAGUUAUAGUUUAUUUAAACUAUAUUAAAGCUUUUAUAAUCAUAAUAUUGGUCUAUGCAACUUAUGAUACGGUUGCUAUAAUGGAGAUUUUAAUAUAGCAAUUAAGUUUGUAUAAUACUAUAAAACAAUCACUGUAAAUAUAUGAUUAUUAUUAUUUAUAUUAUUAAUAAUUGCUAUAAAAAUGAUACUUUUGAUUAUAAAUAUUUUACUAUAUAUAAUAAUUAUAGCUGCAAGCUAUUACACAUUUUUCUUAGUGUACAGCCAUUCAUUAGUGGGAUAUACAGGUUAUAAAAAAUUUAUAAAUAAUAUUUACAAAUAAGGCAAUAAAAUGAUACAAUAACUUACAUGUGUUUUAAAAGUUUUUUGAGGUAUAAGAUUAACAAAUAUACAAAUAAUAAUAAUAAUUCUUGCAUAUAUGUUCCAAAAUGUUUGUGUAAAACACACAUGUAUUAAUAACGUUAAUAUAUGUAAUAAUGCAUAUUAAUCUUUUUUUAAUGCUUUUAACAAUUUAUAUAACUGAAAGAUUUUUUAAAAGAAUUAAAAAGGAAUACUAUAAAUAAACGACAUAGACACAUUAAAAAGAUAUAUUCAAAAAAGAAAGAACAUAGAAUUUCUUUCUUUCUUUUUUUUAAAGAAAUUAAAAAAGGAACUUUACAUUUAUUAAUUAUAAUUAUAAUAUAUUAACAAACUUUAUUCAGAUUGAUAUCAAACUUUAUUCAUAAUAACAGAAUAGCUAAAUAAACUUUUAAUUUUAAUUAAAUUUGAAAUUUUUUUUAUUUUUCAACUUUAAUACUUUUAACUUUUCUUUUUUAAGUUCAGUUUGUUUUUUGAGAACCAUGAAACAUUGACAUUUUUAUAUCUAAACAACAACAAUUUUGUUGUUAAUUUACACAGCAUACUUUAUUAAGACAUAUGAUCGUCAUAUGAUAUCCAUACAAUAACGUAUACGAUGAAUAUUGUGAUGUCUCUGAAGAUUUCGGACAAAAUGUGCUGCAUGGGUAUUAUUAUUAUUUUACUUAUUUCAACACUUUUUGCGCGUCGUCUUCAGAAAAUGUCAAAUAACGUAAUGAAUACUGUCGAGAUACAUAAUGUAUUAUUAGAACGAAAUUUGAUUAAUGGAAAAUCAGAAAAUAACCGACAUAAUCAAAACGAGAUGAUUAUGACAAGUACAGAUUGUUUUUAAUUGCUGGUCAAAAGUUGAUUAGUUUAUUUAUUACAUACAUAAAAUCUAAGUGCUUUUACUUCAUCGAGUUGCCUCUUACUUUUUUAUUAUUUCUAUGUUUAUAAUAAAAUGAGAAAAUUAAAUUAAUUAAUUAUAAAUCGAUUAAUCAUUUAUUUUGAAAGUUUAAUCAAUUGAAGUCGAGUUCUCUUUUUAACGUAAUCGAUUUUUGAAAAUAAGUAAUUAUGUUCACUAACCGUCACUAACCGAUGAGAGAACACGCGGAAAGAGACGCAGAGAUCCCGCGCAGGUCGCCAUAGUAACGGACCAUCUUGACACACUGUGUACAGCUAUUCUCCCUGGUGUUCCUCCGGAAACAUCAUGCCUGCGCGUCGCCGUGGAAAAAUAGACUCGUCGAGAUCUUCAAUUGGAGAACUGACCGUUUCUUCUUUUUUUAUAUAUAAAACUCAAUCUUUACGACUUCUUUAAUGCUUAUUCGCGUGUCGUUUCUGAAAUGUCUAUACGUUGAAAGAAAACAAAAUAGUUUUAAUUAUAUAAUUUAACAACUCUAACAAAAUAUUGUGUUUCUUAAAUAAUGUAUUUUUCGUUGAGACUAUAUAUUUUAUAUAGAUAGGUAAGACCGUAAAAUCGAGAAAGUAUAUUCAUACUACCGAAAUAAUUAGGACAGUUGUGAUAUAGCAUUAUAAUGCAUUUAUAAGUGCUAAGAAUAAGAACGAAGGCUCCAAAAUUUGAAUUUUAGUCGAUUCGAUUUUUUAAUUCAAUUCCCCAUGUUCAAUAAUUGAUCUAGUACUAUCUUAAUGUAAACAAUAUUUUAUCAAAUGUUAUUUUAAACUUAAAAUUUUAUUAACAGAAACUAUUGAACCUUGAAUUAGCAUUUUGGAUGAAAAUUUAUCCACUGCAAUGUACUCUAUGGUUAAUAAACACAGCGAUUUGAUUUUUAUUUUACAUCUUCCAUAGGUAUAGCAGCGAUACUUCAUGUGUCUUAUAUCUAUUCUCUAUAUCUUUAUUAUAUAUUUUAAAUUAAAAAUGUCAAGGAAGAAUUUUAUGGCAGUUUUUUAAUAGCUUCUUAGAAGAUAAUUAAUAACAGGGUUAAUAGAUCGUACUGUAUUAUACUCAAAGGGAAAAAUAGUACUAGUAAUUAGAGGAAUAAAAAGAAAUAUUAAUACUAUGUAUGAAAAGUUGCGA